rnacentral:rRNA from 1 species
UACGUAGGGGGCGAGCGUUGUCCGGAAUUAUUGGGCGUAAAGAGCUCGUAGGCGGCUUGGCAAGUCGGAUGUGAAAACUCCAGGCUCAACCUGGAGCCGCCAUUCGAUACUGCUAUGGCUAGAGUCCGGUAGGGGAGUGUGGAAUUCCCGGUGUAGCGGUGAAAUGCGCAGAGUAUCGGGAGGAACACCGAUGGCGAAGGCAGCACUCUGGGCCGGCACUGACGCUGAGGAGCGAAAGCGUGGGGAGCGAACAGG